AUGGUACUCCCUCCGUCCGAGAAAGCUUGUCGCAAGCUUGUCUCUCAAAUGGAUGUAUCUAGCACUAACUUGGUGCUAGAUACAUCCAUUUGAGGGACAAUCUUUUUCGGACGGAGGGAAUACUAA
rfam:Triticum aestivum genome assembly, contig: Triticum_aestivum_CS42_TGACv1_scaffold_433843_5DL